GACGAACGCUGGCGGCGUGCUUAACACAUGCAAGUCGAACGGAAAGGCCCUGCUAUUGUGGGGUGCUCGAGUGGCGAACGGGUGCGUAACACGUGUGUAACCUGCUCUUGAUUUUGGGAUAACUUAAGGAAACUGGGGCUAAUAUCGGAUAGGAGCUCCCGCUGCAUGGUGGGGGUUGGAACGUUUCGGCGGGUGGGGAUGGACUCGCGGAUUAUCAACUUGUUGGUGGGGGAGUGGCAUACCGAGGGUUUGACGGGUAGCCGGCCUGUGAGGGUGACCGGCCACAUGGGUACUGAGAUACGGCGCAGAGUCCUACGGGAGGCAGCAGGGGGGAAUAUGGCACAAUGGUCGGGAGCGUGAGGCAGCAACGCCGCGUGCGGGAUGACGGCCUUCGGGUUGAAAACCGCUUUCGCCUGUGACGAAGCUUGUGUGGCGGUAAUGAAUAAAGAAGCACCGGCUAACUACGUG
rnacentral:rRNA from 1 species